rnacentral:rRNA from 1 species
AGUGCAUUGGGUAGGGGAGCGUUCUGUAAGCGGUUGAAGGUGUGUGGUAACGCAUGCUGGACGUAUCAGAAGUGCGAAUGCUGACAUGAGUAACGAUAAAGGGGGUGAAAAACCUCCUCGCCGGAAGACCAAGGGUUCCUGUCCAACGUUAAUCGGGGCAGGGUAAGUCGACCCCUAAGGCGAGGCCGAAAGGCGUAGUCGAUGGGAAACGGGUUAAUAUUCCCGUACUUCUUACAAUUGCGAUGGGGGGACGGAGAAGGCUAGGUGGGCCUGGCGACGGUUGUCCAGGUUCAAGUGCGUAGGCUGAGAAAUUAGGUAAAUCCGGUUUCUCUUAAGGUUGAGACACGACGUCGAGCAUCUACGGAUGUGAAGUCAUUGAUGCCAUGCUUCCAGGAAAAGCCUCUAAGCUUCAGAUUGUAAGGAAUCGUACCCCAAACCGACACAGGUGGUCGGGUAGAGAAUACCAAGGCGCUUGAGAGAACUCGGGUGAAGGAACUAGGCAAAAUGGUACCGUAACUUCGGGAGAAGGUACGCUCUCGACGGUGAAGUCCCUCGCGGAUGGAGCUAUUGAGAGUCGCAGAUACCAGGUGGCUGCAACUGUUUAUUAAAAACACAGCACUGUGCAAAAUCGUAAGAUGACGUAUACGGUGUGACGCCUGCCCGGUGCCGGAAGGUUAAUUGAUGGGGUUAGACUUCGGUCGAAGCUCUUGAUCGAAGCCCCGGUAAACGGCGGCCGUAACUAUAACGGUCCUAAGGUAGCGAAAUUCCUUGUCGGGUAAGUUCCGACCUGCACGAAUGGCGUAAUGAUGGCCACGCUGUCUCCACCCGAGACUCAGUGAAAUUGAAAUCGCUGUGAAGAUGCAGUGUACCCGCGGCUAGACGGAAAGACCCCGUGAACCUUUACUACAGCUUGGCACUGAACAUUGACCCUACAUGUGUAGGAUAGGUGGGAGGCUUUGAARCGCAGUCGCUAGAUUGCGUGGAGCCGUCCUUGAAAUACCACCCUUGUAGUGUUGAUGUUCUAACGUCGACCCCUUAUCGGGGUUGCGGACAGUGCCUGGUGGGUAGUUUGACUGGGGCGGUCUCCUCCCAAAGCGUAACGGAGGAGCACGAAGGUGGGCUAAUCACGGUUGGACAUCGUGAGGUUAGUGCAAUGGCAUAAGCCCGCUUGACUGCGAGAAUGACAAUUCGAGCAGGUGCGAAAGCAGGUCAUAGUGAUCCGGUGGUUCUGAAUGGAAGGGCCAUCGCUCAACGGAUAAAAGGUACUCCGGGGAUAACAGGCUGAUACCGCCCAAGAGUUCAUAUCGACGGCGGUGUUUGGCACCUCGAUGUCGGCUCAUCACAUCCUGGGGCUGAAGUCGGUCCCAAGGGUAUGGCUGUUCGCCAUUUAAAGUGGUACGCGAGCUGGGUUUAGAACGUCGUGAGACAGUUCGGUCCCUAUCUGCCGUGGGCGUUGGAGAAUUGAAAGGGGCUGCUCCUAGUACGAGAGGACCGGAGUGGACGAACCUCUGGUGUUCGGGUUGUGUCGCCAGACGCAUUGCCCGGUAGCUAAGUUCGGGAUCGAUAACCGCUGAAAGCAUCUAAGCGGGAAGCGAGCCUUGAGAUGAGUUCUCCCUGAUACUUUAAGUAUCCUAAAGGGUUGUCGUAGACUACGACGUUGAUAGGCAGGGUGUGUAAGCGUUGUGAGGCGUUGAGCUAACCUGUACUAAUUGCCCGUGAGGCUUAACCAU